AGAACGAACGCUGGCGGCAGGCCUCAAACAUGCAAGUCUAGGGGGUGUAGCAAUACAUCACCGGCGGACGGGUGCGUAACGCGUGGGAAUGUACCUAUUGGUUCGGAACAACUGAGGGAAACUUCAGCUAAUACCGGAUGAGCCCGAAAGGGGAAAGAUUUCUCGCCAAUAGAUCAGCCCGCGUCCGAUUAGCUAGUUGGUGGGGUUAAAGCCUACCAAGGCGACGAUCGGUAGCUGUUCUGAGAGGAAGAUCAGCCACACUGGGACUGAGACACGGCCCAGACUCCUACGGGAGGCAGCAGUUGGGGAAUAUUGGACAAUGGGGCAACCUGAUCCAGCAAUGCCGCGUGUGUGAAGAAGGUCUUCGGAUUGUAAAGCACUUUCGACGGGACGAUGAUGACGGUACCCGUAUAAGAGCCCGGCUAACUCGUGCAGCAGCCGC
rnacentral:rRNA from 1 species